GAUGAACGCUGGCGGCGUGCCUAAUACAUGCCAGUCGAGCGAACAGACGAGGAGCUUGCUCCUCUGACGUUAGCGGCGGACGGGUGAGUAACACGUGGAUAACCUACCUAUAAGACUGGGAUAACUUCGGGAAACCGGAGCUAAUACCGGAUAAUAUAUUGAACCGCAUGGUUCAAUAGUGAAAGACGGUUUUGCUGUCACUUAUAGAUGGAUCCGCGCCGCAUUAGCUAGUUGGUAAGGUAACGGCUUACCAAGGCAACGAUGCGUAGCCGACCUGAGAGGGUGAUCGGCCACACUGGAACUGAGACACGGUCCAGACUCCUACGGGAGGCAGCAGUAGGGAAUCUUCCGCAAUGGGCGAAAGCCUGACGGAGCAACGCCGCGUGAGUGAUGAAGGUCUUCGGAUCGUAAAACUCUGUUAUUAGGGAAGAACAAAUGUGUAAGUAACUAUGCACGUCUUGACGGUACCUGAUCAGAAAGCCACGGCUAACUAUGUG
rnacentral:rRNA from 1 species